GAUGAACGCUGGCGGCGUGCCUAAUACAUGCAAGUCGAGCGAACAGACGAGGAGCUUGCUCCUCUGACGUUAGCGGCGGACGGGUGAGUAACACGUGGAUAACCUACUUAUAAGACUGGGAUAACUUCGGGAAACCGGAGCUAAUACCGGAUAAUAUAUUGAACCGCAUGGUUCAAUAGUGAAAGACGGUUUUGCUGUCACUUAUAGAUGGAUCCGCGCCGCAUUAGCUAGUUGGUAAGGUAACGGCUUACCAAGGCAACGAUGCGUAGCCGACCUGAGAGGGUGAUCGGCCACACUGGAACUGAGACACGGUCCAGACUCCUACGGGAGGAAGCAGUAGGGAAUCUUCCGCAAUGGGCGAAAGCCUGACGGAGCAACGCCGCGUGAGUGAUGAAGGUCUUCGGAUCGUAAAACUCUGUUAUUAGGGAAGAACAAAUGUGUAAGUAACUAUGCACGUCUUGACGGUACCUAAUCAGAAAGCCACGGCUAACUACGUG
rnacentral:rRNA from 1 species